rnacentral:rRNA from 1 species
UACAGAGGGUGCGAGCGUUAAUCGGAAUUACUGGGCGUAAAGCGUGCGUAGACGGCUAUCUAAGUCGGGUGUGAAAGCCCCGGGCUCAACCUGGGAAUUGCAUUCGAGACUGAAUAGCUAGGGUACGGUAGAGGGAAGUGGAACUUCCGGUGUAGCGGUGAAAUGCGUAGAUAUCGGAAGGAACAUCAGUGGCGAAAGCGACUUCCUGGACCAGUACCGACGUUCAGGCACGAAAGCGUGGGGAGCAAACAGG